AAACAAUUCAGAAUCUAAAUUAAAACGUUUUAAAGGAGGCCGAUUUGCAAUCCAAUCAACUAGCACAGACAGGUUUUCUCUAAAAUGCUAAAGCUGUGUAUGAAGAAGCCACGGAAGAUGAUGCUAAAAACUCAUUACCAGAAGGAAUGCCAAUGAAUAAAAUUGUUGAUAAUGCAUUGUCAUAUGUGAUGGAACUUUUUGGAAAAGUAUAGAUUAUUAUUCCUAAAUGGUUGUUUAUGCUACUGUUUCUAAGGAUGCAGGUAUCAAUGUUAUCUUGUGUAUCUAACAUUAAAGGAUGUUCUGCAAUUCUUACGAUACUUAAAAUGUGAGAAAAAGACAAAUGAAGGCCAAAGAAUGAGACACCUAUGCAUGUGGUGAAUUAUGACUCAAUUAGGUUGUUUAAAAUGUGUAUUUGCUGAAUAAAUUUUCUUGUCUAUCUUUACCAGCUAUUUUCUCAAAAUAUAGCACAAUUUUGGGCAUUUA